UCACUUUCGGGGAGACGCCCCGAGCGCG
rnacentral:sRNA from 1 species